CUGAAGCUCCUUCUGAAAGAGCAGUUGGUGUUUAUUUUUUACUAAACAGCAAUCGCUCUUUUGGAAGGAACUUGAG
ensembl:miRNA